AGUGAACGCUGGCGGUAGGCCUAACACAUGCAAGUCGAACGGCAGCACAGUAAGAGCUUGCUCUUACGGGUGGCGAGUGGCGGACGGGUGAGGAAUACAUCGGAAUCUACUUUUUCGUGGGGGAUAACGUAGGGAAACUUACGCUAAUACCGCAUACGACCUACGGGUGAAAGCAGGGGAUCUUCGGACCUUGCGCGAUUGAAUGAGCCGAUGUCGGAUUAGCUAGUUGGCGGGGUAAAGGCCCACCAAGGCGACGAUCCGUAGCUGGUCUGAGAGGAUGAUCAGGCACACUGGAACUGAGACACGGUCCAGACUCCUACGGGAGGCAGCAGUGGGGAAUAUUGGACAAUGGGCGCAAGCCUGAUCCAGCCAUACCGCGUGGGUGAAGAAGGCCUUCGGGUUGUAAAGCCCUUUUGUUGGGAAAGAAAAGCAGCAAGUUAAUACCCCGCUGUUCUGACGGUACCCAAAGAAUAAGCACCGGCUAACUUCGUG
rnacentral:rRNA from 1 species